GAUAAACGCUGGCGGCGUGCCUAACACAUGCAAGUCGAACGAUCCCGCAAGGGAGAGUGGCGGAAGGGUGAGUAACACGUGGAAUCUACCUCCUCGCAGGGAACAACCUCUCGAAAGAGAGGCUAAUACCCAAAGGGUCAGAAAUGAUCAGAGUCGAAAGGCGUGAGGAGAGGAGCCCGCGGCCCAUCAGCUAGUUGGUGAGGUAAUGGCUUACCAAGGCUACGACGGGUAGGGGAUCUGAGAGGAUGUCCCCCACACUGGAACUGAAACACGGUCCAGACGCCUACGGGUGGCAGCAGUGAGGAAUAUUGGACAAUGGGCGAAAGCCCGAUCCAGCAACGCCGCGUGGAGGAUGAAGGCCUUCGGGUCGUAAACUUCUUUAGAGGGAGACGAGAAAGGACGGUAUCCCUAGAAUAAGCGACGGCAAACUACGUGCCAGCAGCCGCGGUAAU
rnacentral:rRNA from 1 species